CAAUUCUCUCUAAUCUCAACAGUUUUCAAUCACCCAAAAAUAAGUCAGAACAAAGACCAAAGUAAAGCAAAAGUUGUAGCCUACAUGCACAUACAUGAAAAAGAAAGAAAAGAAAAGAGGCAAAUGGUAAAAUUUAAAUAUUUUAGUCAUCAAAAUCAUAGAAAAUAGCGGAACUACAUCUGUAUGGCAACAUAAAAGAAAACAACUAUUUUAUUGGCCUCUGGGGAUUGAAUCCUAGAGGAUUUGAGGCAAGAUGAUUUAUUGGAAGCUCACAAAAGGAUUUUAGCAAAUAAUGGGCAAUUUUAAUGCCCUUAUCCUCCACCUUCUCCCCCUCGCCCCCCAACACGCACACAAAAAAUAGAAAAAUAGAAAAAAAAAA
rnacentral:misc_RNA from 1 species